CAGCCGCCACGGGAAUACGAAGGGGGCUAGCGUUGCUCGGAAUCACUGGGCGUAAAGGGUGCGUAGGCGGGUCUUUAAGUCAGAGGUGAAAUCCUGGAGCUCAACUCCAGAACUGCCUUUGAUACUGAGGAUCUUGAGUUCGGGAGAGGUGAGUGGAACUGCGAGUGUAGAGGUGAAAUUCGUAGAUAUUCGCAAGAACACCAGUGGCGAAGGCGGCUCACUGGCCCGAUACUGACGCUGAGGCACGAAAGCGUGGGGAGCAAACAGGAUUAGAUACCCCAGUAGUCCCUGUCUCUUAUAC
rnacentral:rRNA from 1 species